GUUCUAACAGAGACUCUUCCUGUUCUAAUGGAAUAUGUAUCAGAUCCUAGUUACAGUGAUAUCAUCCUUAAUAUUCUCUUAGAAAUAUCAACAUAUGAACCACUUUCACUGGCAGGCUCUCUUUCCACAUUAAAAGACCUAGGGGACAGUUUCCCAUGUUUCAUUGGACAGAUAGCGAAGAUUUAUGGAGCGGUGGGACAUGCUGAUGAG